CCUCCCCUCUUUGUCCUAUCCUAGAUGGACACAUCUGUCACUUUUAAGUCCCUAUUGCUCAUCUGUCACGGUCCACAACCAAGAAGAGACAAGGGAAGGGGCCAGAUGAAUGUUCUGCCACCAAGAGGAAGACUUUGACAUUUAAAAAAUUCUCCAUCUCUCUCCAAGUGUCCCAUCCCCAACUCAGAAAUAAUAAUAAUGAAAAAUCCAUGAAGAGGACAUUAAUAUGUUGCAGAUGAAGACACUGAGGCUUGGAGAACUUAAAUUGCCCAAAGAGCUUCUCACACCUGUUUUUUAAUAAUUCUCAGGAAAGUACUUAAGCCCCAAGAUCAUGUGAAGGAGAGGCUACAAUCCUGUCGGGAAAGAACUUGAGUCUUUCUUCCAGUCAUAGCUCCCCCAUCUCUCCAUUUUGGACGUCGGCCCAGGCAAACCCAGAAGACGUGUCUGGAGGGAAGGGUGCCGCAAGACUCUCCAUUAUAGCUGCCGUCAUGGACAGCACAUUUGAUUACAGGUCCCCAUCAAGGUGAUGCUGUUGUUUCUGCAUAUGUCAUCUCUGCCAGCUUUUGUAGUUAAAUUUCCUCUAGCACCGUAGGGAGGUAAGAUCUGCUUCUCUUCCCAGAGGCUGGAGACGGGAGACAGCAAAGAGUUUGUUAUCAUGGAAACCACGUCUCCCCCUGGGCCCCAAGGGGCACUUCUGGAAAUGGUUCGGAAUUUGAUCACAGUCUUCAAGCGUGGUUAAAAGCUGUUAUUUCCUCGUGUCUGAUAAAUGGUUGUCGAGAAGCUGACAGUUCUGGUUUCGCUGGGGAAGAUUGGACUGGGGGAGGACGUGGGUCAGGCAAAUGGGAACAGAUAACAGGAUGGGGGUGGCAGAUCCUCGGACCCCUGCACAGCACCCCAGACUGACAGGAUGGUUUGGAGAUGGUCCCAUCUUGGCUCACUGUCAAGAGUCAGAAAGUCAAAGGAACAUUGAGGUUAGGUGGAGCAUCGAAAAUGACGUACCCUUACCUCACAAGUGGCUCAGCUUUAAAGAAAGAAAUAGAAAAACUUGGAUAACAGUCACCAACUCUGAGGGCCUUGGAAAAAAAUUCUCCAAAAACAUUUUGAGGGAUUGCAAACUCAAAUACCUGCAGGAAUCAAAAGGAAAAUGCCAUAGAGUGAAGUUGAAAUGAGCUUGGCGAGGCUUUGGGGAAACAGGAGAGCACACACCUCAUCUAAAGGGGGUGGCAGGUACCAGCUCCAGCCCUGGCCAAUUCCCCACUUCUCUAGGAAAAGCCCCAAAUCUGGAAUUCUAGAUAAAAAUCUCCCAACAUUUAAAUGUAAGCUAAGAAUUGAAACAUUUUUUAAUCACAUCGAAGGCCAAAUAAAACAUGUCUGAAGGUCAAAUCCAGUUUAUUCAUUUCAGUUUGCAAACUAUGCUAUGAAUGCUGAAAUGAAAUCUGAAAUUCAAGAAGCAGAGGGGAACUUUAUCAUA
rnacentral:lncRNA from 1 species